GCCGCUAUGGCUCAACUGGUAAUAGUUUUGACUUUCAUCAGACAGGUCCCGGGUUCGAUUCCCCCUAGUGGCA